rnacentral:rRNA from 1 species
AUGACGUCAAGUCCUCAUGGCCCUUAUGUCCAGGGCUACACACGUGCUACAAUGGGCAGUACAAAGGGUAGCAAGCCUGCGAAGGUGAGCCAAUCCCAAAAAGCUGUUCGUAGUUCGGAUUGGAGUCUGCAACUCGACUCCAUGAAGCUGGAAUCGCUAGUAAUCGCGGAUCAGCAUGCCGCGGUGAAUACGUUCCCGGGCCUU